GUGUGAUUUAGAGGUGGGCUCCGAUCAGUCGCUGUCCAAGCGGCAGUUUUACGAGGGGAAAUGAAAACGUGCUGCGGAUGUGGUGGGCGAAUUCACGAGGAUGUGUCGCAUUUUAAAUUUCUGCGAGGAUUGACAGAUUGAGAACUCUUUCUUGAUUGGGUGGAUGGUGAUUGGUGCAUGUCCGUUCUUAGUUGGUGGAGCGGUUUGUCUGGUUAAUUAUGAUAACGAACGAGACUCUAGCCUAUUAAAUAGGUGCGUGCUUCUCUGCACCUUGCACCCUUCUUAGAGGGACAACGGCUCCUAACCGCACGAAACAGAGCAAUAACAGGUCUGUGAUGCUCUUAGAUGUCCAGGGCCGCACGCGGGCUACACUGAAGGAAGCAGCGUGUUUUUAUCCCUGUCUGGUAAGACAGUAAGCUUAGAAAAAAGUGACUUGAGCAAAUACAGAGG
rnacentral:ncRNA from 1 species